AGUGAACGCUGGCGGUAGGCCUAACACAUGCAAGUCGAACGGCAGCACAGUAAGAGCUUGCUCUUACGGGUGGCGAGUGGCGGACGGGUGAGGAAUACAUCGGAAUCUACUUUUUCGUGGGGGAUAACGUAGGGAAACUUACGCUAAUACCGCAUACGACCUACGGGUGAAAGCAGGGGAUCUUCGGACCUUGCGCGAGUGAAUGAGCCGAUGUCGGAUUAGCUAGUUGGCGGGGUAAAGGCCCACCAAGGCGACGAUCCGUGGCUGGUCUGAGAGGAUGAUCAGCCACACUGGAACUGAGACACGGUCCAGACUCCUACGGGAGGCAGCAGUGGGGAAUAUUGGACAAUGGGCGCAAGCCUGAUCCAGCCAUACCGCGUGGGUGAAGAAGGCCUUCGGGUUGUAAAGCCCUUUUGUUGGGAAAGAAAAGCAGCAGGUUAAUACCCCGCUGUUCUGACGGUACCCAAAGAAUAAGCACCGGCUAACUUCGUG
rnacentral:rRNA from 1 species